UACAGAGGGUGCGAGCGUUGUUCGGAAUUAUUGGGCGUAAAGGGCGCGUAGGCGGCGCGGUAUGUCACCUGUGAAAUCUCCCGGCUUAACUGGGAGGGUGCGCUAUAGACUGUGGGACUAGAGUGUGGGAGAGGAAAGUGGAAUUCCUGGUGUAGCGGUGAAAUGCGUAGAUAUCAGGAGGAACACCGGUGGUGUAAACGGCUUUCUGGACCAUAACUGACGCUGAGGCACGAAAGCGUGGGUAGCAAACAGG
rnacentral:rRNA from 1 species